UUUUUUUUUAUAAUUUUGGCUAUUUAAUCAUUAAAGGUUUUAAGAAAAUAUUUUGUUGUAAUUUAAAUGAAAGUUUUUAAUGUUUAAUUUACUUUACUUGGAAAUUUAUAAAGAGUGUGUGUCUGUGUUUUUGUAACGUGACUGUUCUUUUUAUCCAACACAUGUUAAACUGUCAAAAUGGAUCACCAUAAUUAUCAGUCAGGUCAAGGUCAAUCAGUAUAGAUAUCCAAUCAUUUCAGGUCAACAUUUUCGUUUAAAGUUUGGUCAUAAGUUAGAGGUUAAAAGUUCAGGUCAACAUUGACAAGAAAAGAAUGGUCAUUACUCCUUUAUAGGGUAGAGGUCUACUAUAGAGUUAAGAUCAAACUAUUUGUAAGAAUGGUUAUAUAUAAGGUCAAAGAUAUGCAGUGUUAGGUCAAGGUCAAUGUUUACUUCUACAGAAUGAUUAUAUCUGUUAGCAGGAUCACAGAUAUGAUUAAUUGCUUAAAAGCAACAAGCACAUGUAAGAAGCAUAUUCCUGCUAAACAGCUUUAAAUAUGUGUACUUAUUUUCACAAAUAAGAACAAAAAUAGGUCCCUUCCCCAAGGGUUGACUGGGGUAUAGAAAUAUGGUCAUCCCUUGGUCUUCAUUUGACCGGCAGUAAAACGCUUGCCAAAGAUUAGCCACCGUUUAGUUAAUACAUAGCCACAUCCUGUUAAAAUUUAAAAUUAAAAAGUUGCAUCUAAUACCAGAGUAACUUUUAACCCGAAGUGUGACAGAGAAACAAACGAACAGACAGACAAAAGAACGGACCAACAAACGGACGAACAGGUAAGACCAGAAAAUUUUGAUGAAAAAUACAAAAUAUUUCCUUUGACUCCGUUAAAACAUUUAAAUUGUCACCACUUUAGAAAGAAAAUGAACAUUAAGUCCCCUACAUAAAUUUCAUAGUUUAAAUAAAGGGAAUUUUUUUCUGCAAUUUUCACUUCUGGAUGAAAGGAUAAAAUUACCACUUCUGUUUCAUUAUUCAUUGAGA
rnacentral:lncRNA from 1 species